rnacentral:rRNA from 1 species
CGGAAUUACUGGGCGUAAAGGGCUCGUAGGCGGCCAACUAAGUCAGACGUGAAAUCCCUCAGCUUAACUGGGGAACUGCGUCUGAUACUGGAUGGCUUGGAUUUGGGAGAGGGAUGCGGAAUUCCAGGUGUAGCGGUGAAAUGCGCAGAUAUCUGGAGGAACACCGGUGGCGAAGGCGGCAUCCUGGACCGACAUUGACGCUGAGGCGCGAAAGCCAGGGGAGCAAACGGG